rnacentral:rRNA from 1 species
UACGUAGGGGCCUAGCGUUGUCCGGAAUUAUUGGGCGUAAAGAGCUCGUAGGUGGUUCGGCAAGUCGGAUGUGAAAUCUCCACGCUUAACGUGGAGGGGCCAUUCGAAACUGCUGUGACUUGAGUCCGGUAGGAGAGUGUGGAAUUCCCGGUGUAGCGGUGAAAUGCGCAGAUAUCGGGAGGAACACCAGUAGCGAAGGCGGCACUCUGGGCCGGUACUGACACUGAGGAGCGAAAGCGUGGGGAGCGAACAGG